rnacentral:rRNA from 1 species
CUACGGGUGGCUGCAGUGAGGAAUAUUGCACAAUGGGGGGAACCCUGAUGCAGCAACGCCGCGUGGAGGAUGACGCAUUUCGGUGUGUAAACUCCUUUUAUAUGUCAAGAAAAUGACGGUAGCAUAUGAAUAAGCACCGGCUAACUCCGUGCCAGCAGCCGCGGUAAUACGGAGGGUGCAAGCGUUACUCGGAAUCACUGGGCGUAAAGGACGCGUGGGCGGGUUGGAAAGUCAGGUGUGAAAUCCUACAGCUUAACUGUAGAACUGCACUUGAAACUUCUAAUCUAGAGUAUGGGAGGGGGAGAUGGAAUUAGUGGUGUAGGGGUAAAAUCCGUAGAUAUCACUAGGAAUACCUAAAGCGAAGGCGAUCUCCUGGAACAUUACUGACGCUAAGGCGUGAGAGCGUGGGGAGCAAACAGGAUUAGAUACCCUCGUAGUC